rnacentral:rRNA from 1 species
GUGGGGAAUAUUGGACAAUGGGCGCAAGCCUGAUCCAGCCAUGCCGCGUGAGUGAUGAAGGCCCUAGGGUUGUAAAGCUCUUUCACCGGAGAAGAUAAUGACGGUAUCCGGAGAAGAAGCCCCGGCUAACUUCGUGCCAGCAGCCGCGGUAAUACGAAGGGGGCUAGCGUUGUUCGGAAUUACUGGGCGUAAAGCGCACGUAGGCGGACAUUUAAGUCAGGGGUGAAAUCCCGGGGCUCAACCCCGGAACUGCCUUUGAUAUUGGGUGUCUGGAGUAUGGAAGAGGUAAGUGGAAUUCCGAGUGUAGAGGUGAAAUUCGUAGAUAUUCGGAGGAACACCAGUGGCGAAGGCGGCUUACUGGUCCAUUACUGACGCUGAGGUGCGAAAGCGUGGGGAGCAAACAGGAUUAGAAACCCCGGUAGUCC